GGGUGAAGUCCUUGUUUAUUGUUCCAGCAAUUCUUAUACAGACAUUAGCGUUCAGUUAAAUAAGGAGAGAGCACAUUAAAUACGUCACAACCCCAAACCAGACAACUGCCACUACGGCAUGAAGAAGGGGAGGGUGGGCCAGGACCGGUGAUUAGACUGUCAGAGGAAAUACAUUCAGUGGGUGUGCAGUAUCAACAUUCCAGGCUCACGUGUAGAUAUAUUUUAUUUAUAUAUAUUUAUAUUUAUAUAUAGAGAUCAUUGAGUUUCAUGUAUACAAAGAACGAUAUUGUUACAAAUACAAUACUAUACUUCUCCCGAUGUUUUACAGUAAGCGCUAAUGCACCCCGUUACAGAACAGGGGUGCGAGUUCGUACUCCAGGUGCUGUGCUAAGUAUGUACAAGAGAUUUCAUUCCCACAUCACACACUGCCUUAGAUGGAGGGAAGAUAAAAUCAGAGUUGUGUACUCAGUGGACCCUAACCAGGGAAGGAGCAGACAGAGGUGAAACUCAAACUAACAGGUAGCCUUGUGAAGGUGAGAGUUAAAACAUCAGGAAGAGGUGGCCCUUGGUUGUAAACAUUGGUGACAGCUACACCAGUGGGUGGAGAGACCUGAGCAGGGCUCUGUGGGUGGGUUUUCAUCAGUGUGCCAAGGGGAGCAUAGGUGUGGGUGGGGCCGCAGGAGGAGGGAGGGGAGCGAUGGGGGAGGUAGUAGGUUACUCUGACUCCCUGAAGGCCAAUGUUGACGGGCAAAGUUCAGAAAGCAAACCUGUGUGCAGGGAGAUGGCAGCCUGCCGCCUGCUCUGCUCUACCCCCGCCCCUGGACUCCCACAGAGCCUGCUGUGAAGGAAGGGAUCGCUCAGGAAGUGGGCUCCUGGCCUGGAUCUGUGAGGCUUUCCUCCUCUCGUGAACUCAAGGCUGAUGGUGGCUCCCUGAAGUGCUCCCGAGGAGAAGGCAGAGGCAGAGUGGGUUCUAGUGCAACCUCAUUGGACUGGGGGGAGGGGUGUGGAUCUGGAAACCUGCCCCAAAGCCAAGUCACCAGCGGGUUCCAGCUGAGUGGGCAGAGUGGCUUGUGCCUUGCUUGCUGUGGGGGCAGCUCUGUGUGUAGCUGGCCCCAUUACUGGGAGCUAUGAGAUAUUUACAUAUGUAACUAUGUAUAUGAGGAUGCCAGAUGAGACCUGACCCCAAGUUUAAUCAUUCAGUCUGAUGCUCAAAAGAGGAAGAACAUGCUUCAGCAGGGGGCCUGGACCAGGCUUUCCUCUGGGAGGGAGGAACCCUCCUUAACACAAAAGCCUAAGUAAUCCUUACAAUCGUGCUAAACUAUUAGUUCCCUAGGAGAGCUCACAAGAAAAGCCUUGCUUUUCAGCCCCUCUUAAGGCUUCCAGGGUUGGGAGCAACAAGAAUAGAAAACACUUUCUCUUUCCUCUUCCCCUGGGGUGAUUACUGGGAGUGAGGUCUGUGGGGUCUACCCCUGACUGGUCCCAGUUAGCCUCUGAGGUCCUGCUUCUGCCUUCCUGUCCAGGUGCUUAGGUGCCUGCCCAUGGUGGCCACCCUGGGCCAGACGGACGGACAUAAGCCUGUCAAGUGACUUUACCCAGGUUCCCAAUGCCAGAAAUGGCAGCAAUAACGUCUCUCUUUGUUCUAGCUGUCCUCUCUGGCAGAGAUGGGUCUCACCCCUCAGCGUGUAUUAUAUUAGAUACCUGACAGAUCAGUUAUUUCAGGAGAUGUAAAGAAAACCCA
rnacentral:lncRNA from 1 species